rnacentral:tRNA from 1 species
GCAGUCGUGACUUAUUUGUCAAGGAAAUGGACUAGAAAUCAAUUGGGGCCCCCGCACAGGUUCGAUCCUGUCGACUGCC